AUCAGGUACCACAAGCUUAGCUUUUGGCGCAACUUCAGUUAUUCUCAGAAUGAUUGGCGCAACCUCUCCUUGAUCUCGUCAGCUGAAAGCAAUCACUUCACCCACAAGAAAGCAUCCGAAUUGUGGCCAUUUUGGUGCUUGGAUCUCCUUUGAUUUGCGGCACUCGUGACCUUUGCUUGCAUCAUGUUGAAGCCAAUCAUGACUAGUAUCGACAAGGAUGGAAAUCCAGUGUACGGCGGCACAAUCACCGAUGUUAACACCCUACCCUUCGGCCAAAAUCGUCCUUCGAAAUUAUCUGACAUCUGGAAUUAUCUCGUUCAUGGAAUCCCGAGAGCUCCCAAGGGCCUGAGCUACAAAGGAGAUCGUCAACUCGGAUAAAAGGGAGCCAGUGCGGAAAAUUAAUUGAUUAUGCCAUCGCUGCUAGUUAUUGGGAAACUUGGACCAAGUGUAGUGAUGUGUCCUUAAUAAACAAAAUGCCUGCUCGUCUUUGCUUGAACCUCAGAGUGAAAAUGUAUUGUAUUUGCCUUUGAAUUCUUGCCCAAUCGCUUGGCACUCAGCACUGAUCAGAUCGGGACGUGGAAAUCUGGGCUCGAAAUUCGGCAGGAGAGCACUGGCGCUCACAUUGUAGGCCCAGAUUUGGCUUCAAGGAGAAGUGGCACCAACAAGAACCAAGACUGCUGCCACCGUGGCUACUACUUGACGCUUUCCUCACUCUGGCCCUAGAGAUAUCUAUCUCGAGGGGAACACUUUAUAGAAACCCAUUGCAUUGCGGCAAGAAUUGCUCUUGAGCAAGUCUGCAGUGAAAAUCGACAGCUUCAAAAUGCGAAGUUUUCUUCUAAAGAUUAUCGUGUCUUGGUGCUGGUGCGAGGCUUGGUGCUUAAAUCACACUCUCUUAAACACAACUUCUCUGGAGUCUUUGUCCAUAAACGGUACGGACGAUUCCAGCCCCACUUCGGAUGAUGGUGAUAGCUCCUUGCCAAUUUGGAGAAUACUCCUACUGAUCCUUUUUCUUGGGGUCUUGGUGUCCGCCAUUAUUACCAGGAUUCUGUACGAAAUCAGAAACAAUAGAAACGAAUAAAGAACGUGGGAAGAACGGUGGGCCAAAAGUUUUCAAGGUCCCGCCGCUCGAUCAAGAAAUGGCAAAGAAAUGUGAUACCCAAGCCAAACAAACCACUUUCUCAUUGUUUUACCUCCAAGGUUUUCCACACGGAGUACAAACACAUCGAUCGACUGGGUGAAAAGGCCAUGGUUAAUCCUGCGAGGAAUCCGGCAGGAAUGGCAUUCCAACGAUGGUCCACGCCUAAAGCAUUCCUUAGGAAACAACUGGCCAACUGAAAAGCCAUUUUAACACCCAUUAGACCUUGUCAGUGGAUCCGCAUGUCCAAGCUUUAACUGUUCAACGCAUUGAAAAACUGCCAAUGACGGGACGAUAUGGCAGCAUUUUCUAAUCCCAUUUUCACGCUAAUGUGUUCAUUUAGCCAAGAGGUUUCCCAUUUUGCGUUUUACUCUCUCGUUUGGCGGACAAAAUUGCAAUUACUUCGUGACAUGGCAACAUUAAAAAGACUAUGUGCGAGAUUUUACUAUCAUAACCUAUCGACGGUUCGAUUGGCAGAUUCUGGAUAAGUGUAGGUAAUGUAAAAUCCAAAUGGUGGCAAAGUUCUUGUUAAAGGUAAUUCUGCAGUUGAGAGUUGAUAUUUAUGGGAUCUUCAGAGUUUCGCUUUUGUUUUGAGCUAGCAAUAAAAAGAAUAAGCAGUCUAGCUUCUCGUUUCCCAGAAGGAGAAAAAUUGGCCUCUUCAUCGGGCGAUACCCUCUCUUUUGUAAAAGUCGUCUCGUUUUUAACGUUGUUAUGACGGAAUAACUCAAUUGAGGCCACAAGUUUGGCAAAGCACCUUGUAAACGGCCGGAAAAGAUCCCAAAAAGCAACUCCACAACAGGACAUCUGGUCUGGAAAUAUGAGAGAGGAUUGUCGACAGGCCAUUUCGACUUCGUCCUUGAAUCAUCGGCAAUGCAAAGAGUCCAGCUUGCAAAGCUUGCCCAAUGGCAAAAGGAACUAUAGAGCCCUGUAAUUGGAAUGCAAAACGUGUUUUAAGACAUCAACGUCACUACCAGACUAGUAGAGUUGGGCCUACCUUCAAGCCAUAAACAACGCACGAUUCUUCUGUGUGACCACAAACUGAUUGACCUCUUCUUGGUUCUCUCUUUGACCAGAAGCCGAGAACGAUUUUACCGAUAUAUUUCAUCAAAGGUUCUCUCUCGUCACGAGAAUACGUUUGCUCUGACUUUCCAACCAACAACCUGGGUCAAUGUUACUUUUUUAAAUCUGUUUGAACGCAUCGCUUCAUGAUUAGUUCCAAUUACGGACACACCUUAUCAAUUUUAGAAGAAUAUCUUCAUGAUCGUUGCUGUUGGUCUAUUGUUCACAAAAAGGUUCAAUGUUAGUUCGUAAUUGAUUAAUAAAGUUUUUACCUCCCAUGUUG